CCUACGGGGGGCAGCAGUAGGGAAUCUUCCACAAUGGACGAAAGUCUGAUGGAGCAACGCCGCGUGCAUGAAGAAGGGUUUCGGCUCGUAAAGCUCUGUUGGUAGUGAGGAAAGAUAUAGGUAGUAACUGGCCUUUAUUUGACGGUCAUUACUUAGAAAGUGACGGCUAACUACGUUCCAGCAGCCGCGGUAAUACGUAGGUGGCCAGCGUUGUCCGGAUUUAUUGGGCGUAAUGCGAGUGAAGGCGGUUCAAUAAGUCUGAUUUGAAAGCCGUCGGCUCAACCGGAGAAUUGCAUCAGAAACUGUUGAACUUGAGUGCAGAAGAGGAGAGUGGAACUCCAUGUGUAGCGGUGGAAUGCGUAGAUAUAUGGAAGAACACCAGUGGCGAAGGCGGCUCUCUGGUCUGCAACUGACGCUGAGGCUCGAAAGCAUGGGUAGCGAACAGGAUUAGAUACCCGGGUAGUC
rnacentral:rRNA from 1 species